UACGUAGGGGGCAAGCGUUGUCCGGAAUCAUUGGGCGUAAAGAGCGUGUAGGCGGCCCGAUAAGUCCGCUGUGAAAGUCCAGGGCUCAACCCUGGGAUGCCGGUGGAUACUGUCGGGCUCGAGUCCGGAAGAGGAGUGUGGAAUUCCUGGUGUAGCGGUGAAAUGCGCAGAUAUCAGGAGGAACACCCGUAGCGAAGGCGGCACUCUGGGCCGAUACUGACACUGAGGAGCGAAAGCGUGGGGAGCGAACAGG
rnacentral:rRNA from 1 species